rnacentral:rRNA from 1 species
AUACGGAGGGGGUUAGCGUUGUUCGGAAUUACUGGGCGUAAAGCGCACGUAGGCGGACUGGAAAGUUGGAGGUGAAAUCCCGGGGCUCAACCCCGGAACUGCCUCCAAAACUUCCAAUCUAGAGAUCGAGAGAGGUGAGUGGAAUUCCAAGUGUAGAGGUGAAAUUCGUAGAUAUUUGGAGGAACACCAGUGGCGAAGGCGGCUCACUGGCUCGAUACUGACGCUGAGGUGCGAAAGCGUGGGGAGCAAACAGGAUUAGAUACCCCAGUAGUCC